CCUACGGGUGUCAGCAGUGGGGAAUAUUGCGCAAUGGGCGAAAGCCUGACGCAGCGACGCCGCGUGAGGGAUGAAGGUCUUCGGAUCGUAAACCUCUGUCAGCAGGGAAGAACGGUCACUGUGCUAAUCAGCAGGGAAUUGACGGUACCUGCAAAGGAAGCACCGGCUAACUACGUGCCAGCAGCCGCGGGAAUACGGAGGGUGCGAGCGUUAAGCGGAAUUACUGGGCGUAAAGCGCUCGUAGGAGGUAUGUCAAGUAAAGGGUGAAAUCCCCGCGCGCAACGUGGGAACUGCCUUUGAAACUGGCAAACUUGAGUGGGUGAGAGGUUAGUGGAAUUCCAGGUGUAGGAGUGAAAGCCGUAGAUAUCUGGAGGAACAUCAGUGGCGAAGGCGACUAUCUGGCACAUAACUGACGCUGAGGAGCGAAAGCGUGGGUAGCAAACAGGAUUAGAUACCCGAGUAGUC
rnacentral:rRNA from 1 species